rnacentral:rRNA from 1 species
UACGGAGGAUGCGAGCGUUAUCCGGAUUUAUUGGGUUUAAAGGGUGCGUAGGCGGUCCGUUAAAUCAGCGGUAAAAUUGCGGGGCUCAACCCCGUCGAGCCGUUGAAACUGUCAGACUUGAGUUGGCGAGAAGUACGCGGAAUGCGCGGUGUAGCGGUGAAAUGCAUAGAUAUCGCGCAGAACUCCGAUUGCGAAGGCAGCGUACCGGCGCCACACUGACGCUGAGGCACGAAAGCGUGGGGAUCGAACAGG